CUUGGAUGGUGCGAGCAGCACAAAGCCCUCACAGGUUUUCUUUCCGCAACCAAAGCCGACUCCUCUUCACACGUGGAUAGCGUGCGGUCGGCAGAGCAGCAGGCACUGAUCUCUUGUGACAGCUGCUCCUGAGGCUGGCUGCGGAAGGGAUCGUCAUCGGGCAGCGAUGGGAGGAGGGCAAUAUUUAAGCGCUCCCAUAACACACUUGCCCGUAUGUACUGCUGGAACGCGACACACAAGGAACGGGAUCCAGAAGCUGCCUGAAUCAACUUAAAAUAACUGUACAAAGCUACGAGGGAGGAAUCAGAGGGGGGAAAGGCGACAGCAACCUAUCCUUUCCCUCACUUGCUCUGGGCUAUGAUCUUCCGUCUGAAGUGUUUAACCCCAGGGUACUUCCGCCUCCUACAAAUGCAACUGGCCAGUGGACUGGAGUCGGAACCUCAAGACCGGCUGAUGAAUCACCUGGCUUUACUGCUGGCCAUUAUGGGAUUAAGCCUCUCCUAUUACAGCGCCCGGCAAAUGAGUGAAGAGACCAAACCAAAUCCGGAACCUUGACGCUUGGGCUGCCAAGCAGCAGCUGCACGGGCCAAAGAGGAUUCCAGGAACGCACAGAAAAGAAACAAGGUUGGAGAGAGACCCUGGCACGCACUCUGCGGCACAAGCAGCAUCCUUUAGGUAUCCUGUGCAUGCGCCGGCUGGGUGGCUCACAUUAGAAAACUCAGCGCCAACUUUCCUUGUUCUUUCACAGACGGUGUGUCGCUAGUGCCCCUUCCGGCCAUGCUAGUUUCAUUCUCUCCUACUGGAUCCUCCUGGUCAACUCAGCUAUUGCCCAACUUGCUUCAUUCUAGUUUCAGGGGGCCACUACCAGGGUUGCAUUCCUCUGCCCCAAUUUACCCCUGGAUCUGAUCCUCAUUCAAAGCCCAGAAAUGGAUUUAAACCAGGAUGGCCACGCAGGAAGGAAGCUGAAGAGCUAACCUCAUUGGUUGGGUCCAAUAUUGCCUUAGCUUGUCACAGGAAGCUUUCUGCCUGGGCAUGUUAAGGUUGCCCUCCAGGGGAUGCAGCAGGGAAUUAUUAUUAUUAUUAUUAUUAUUUGACACUGUAAUAGAGUUGGGUAUUUUCUUCACAGGGGAUUAACAGCCACACAUGGUGGCAGUUGAGCUGAUGUCACCUGCCCACCCGUCAGCAGGGUUGAUCCUGUAGCCCAGAACCUCCCUGCUAAACACAAAGGCCACCCCACUUGUUUUAUGAACCACCUGAAAGACGACAUACAUUAAGUGAUAUAGCCCAAUGGAGAAAAGGGGAAAUUGCCAGUAUCAACAACUCAGCUGCUCAGUUUGUGAAGUCAGAAGCCACCCUGUCACGGCAGAGCAUGCAGGUCCUCCUCUUAGCAUCAUCCUAAGCUGCUAGAGUGACAUGCACACUCCUGCCAGUUGCUGCCUUAAAGCAGUUAUGGCGAAGCUUUUGGACCUCUAAAUGCUGCUGUACAACUCCACCAGCCCCAGCAAGCAUGGCCAAUGGCUGUUGUUCAGCAACACCUGGGGACCAGAUGUUCCCUGCAUCUGCCUUACAGCACUGAUCUUCAGUGCAGUGUUAGGACCCUCACAUGGGUACCAGCCUGACCUAAAGGGGCUGGAGCAGUGGUUAAGACAAGGAAGACACUUUCAGCUCAGAGGCCAAAUGUCUGGCCCUCCGAACUCUCCCCAGGCUACACCCCUCCCUGGCCCUGCUUUACACCCCGGAUUGUGUCCUAGAAAUCUGAUGAAGCCUCUCACUUGUCCGGAUGGAAGAUGUAGAGGGGUGUGUGCAGAUACUGUACAAAAGUUAAAAUUUGCAUUUGUUGCUCUGCCCACUUCUGCCUCCAGCCCCGCCCACCACCAGCAUGUGGCCCUUGGGAGCUUGCCCAGGAAAGAAUGUGGCCCAUGGGUCAAAAAAGAUUCCCCACACUUGUUUUGAGAGAAUAGGAAAGAGGGAGAAAGACGACAUAGAUCUACAGUAAGAAAUUAAAUAUGGAUCCUUUGUUACAGAUGGAGGUUGAAAGGUGGGUCUUUUAUAGACUAAGAUCGAAGUCUUACAGAAUUCCCAAGGAAAAGGGGUUUAUUUCCUGGAGGGCCAGGCCCACCCCCUCACAGUAUUGCAGAGGGGCAGGGAGAAAAAGUCGGAUGAGCAUAAUGCACUGCAUUAAAAGGCAAGCGAAUGUAUUACAGACGGUUGAACGAGCGCAUUCGCUGUCUGCUCCCUCCCACUUGACUUGGGCCAAAGCAGUGCAUCAUGGGAAAACCAAAAGGAACUGCAGACUGCCCGUUAUGUAACGGAAUAUGUGGCCAGACAGCCGUGACCUACAUCAUGCCUUCCCAUGAGCAAUUAAGGAGAGGGGGAUUUUUAAAGGCGCUCAGCCUUCCGUUUUAAAAAGUGCACCCAUGAUUUGGGGUUGGUGAGGAGUUUCAAAGGGUGCAAAGGCGAGGCAGGUGAAUCUUUCACCUCUUACAGGAAGAUAAUUGUUGCCUUCUUCAGGGAGUUUCAGACCAAUUUACCCACAGAACACGAGAAUCUGCCGUUUACCAGAUCAGAGUGGUUUUUGCAUUUUGCCCAGUAUUGUCUACUUUGACAGGCAGAGGCCCUCCAGAAUCUCAGGCAGAGGCCUUUCUCAUCACCUGCUAUCCACUGCUCCUUAAGCUAAAGAUACCAGGGCUUGACCGCUGCAUACAAAGCAGGUGCUCUGCCACUCAGCUAUGGCCCCCGUUAAAUCUUCAACACCAAAAUCUGCCCUUGUUCCUCUCUGGAUUAGGCUCUUGCUAAGGCAGCUAGAUCUCAAACACCACACUAGCCGAUUCAUCUGUCUCAUACCAACAAUGCAAGGAAUAAACGUGUUGCACUGUGUACAAUAAAUCUCUGUUUUAAA